UUCAAAUCCCGGCGAGGGAAGAACCAAAAAUUUGCGAAAGCAAAUUUACAGAUCUAACAUUGUUGGGUUGAUGUUUAGACGAGUUGUAUAUAUAUAUAUAUUACGUUUUUUUAAUUGAGUUAAGCCUGCCAAUUAAUAUUUUAUCGUGUGUUUAUCUUUGUUGUGAUGUUAUGCUAUUGUUUCAGAAAAAGGGAGAAGGUUUGGUACCAUUAUAAC
rnacentral:lncRNA from 1 species